GAUGAACGCUGGCGGCGUGCCUAACACAUGCAAGUCGAGCGAUUCUCUUCGGAGAAGAGCGGCGGACGGGUGAGUAACGCGUGGGUAACCUGCCCUAUACACACGGAUAACAUACCGAAAGGUAUGCUAAUACGGGAUAACAUAAGAGAUUCGCAUGGAUUUCUUAUCAAAGCUUUUGCGGUAUAGGAUGGACCCGCGUCUGAUUAGCUAGUUGGUGAGGUAACGGCUUACCGAGGCGACGAUCAGUAGCCGACCUGAGAGGGUGAUCGGCCACAUUGGAACUGAGACACGGUCCAAACUCCUACGGGAGGCAGCAGUGGGGAAUAUUGCACAAUGGGCGAAAGCCUGAUGCAGCAACGCCGCGUGAGCGAUGAAGGCCUUCGGGUCGUAAAGCUCUGUCCUCAAGGAAGAUAAUGACGGUACUUGAGGAGGAAGUCCCGGCUAACUACGUGCCAGCAGCCGCGGUAAUACGUAGGGGGCUAGCGUUAUCCGGAAUUACUGGGCGUAAAGGGUGCGUAGGUGGUUUCUUAAGUCAGAGGUGAAAGGCUACGGCUCAACCGUAGUAAGCCUUUGAAACUGAGAAACUUGAGUGCAGGAGAGGAGAGUAGAAUUCCUAGUGUAGCGGUGAAAUGCGUAGAUAUUAGGAGGAAUACCAGUUGCGAAGGCGGCUCUCUGGACUGUAACUGACACUGAGGCACGAAAGCGUGGGGAGCAAACAGGAUUAGAUACCCUGGUAGUCCACGCCGUAAACGAUGAGUACUAGCUGUCGGAGGUUACCCCCUUCGGUGGCGCAGCUAACGCAUUAAGUACUCCGCCUGGGAAGUACGCUCGCAAGAGUGAAACUCAAAGGAAUUGACGGGGACCCGCACAAGUAGCGGAGCAUGUGGUUUAAUUCGAAGCAACGCGAAGAACCUUACCUAAGCUUGACAUCCUUCUGACCUCUCCCUAAUCGGAGAUUUCCCUUCGGGGACAGAAGUGACAGGUGGUGCAUGGUUGUCGUCAGCUCGUGUCGUGAGAUGUUGGGUUAAGUCCCGCAACGAGCGCAACCCUUGCCUUUAGUUGCCAGCAUUAAGUUGGGCACUCUAGAGGGACUGCCAGGGAUAACCUGGAGGAAGGUGGGGACGACGUCAAAUCAUCAUGCCCCUUAUGCUUAGGGCUACACACGUGCUACAAUGGGUGGUACAGAGGGCAGCCAAGUCGUGAGGCGGAGCUAAUCCCUUAAAGCCAUUCUCAGUUCGGAUUGUAGGCUGAAACUCGCCUACAUGAAGCUGGAGUUACUAGUAAUCGCAGAUCAGAAUGCUGCGGUGAAUGCGUUCCCGGGUCUUGUACACACCGCCCGUCACACCAUGGGAGUUGGGGGCGCCCGAAGCCGGUUAGCUAACCUUUUGGAAGCGGCCGUCGAAGGUGAAACCAAUAACUGGGGUGAAGUCGUAACAAGGUAGCCGUAUCGGAAGGUGCGGCUGGAUCACCUCCUUUCUAAGGAGAAUUGCCUACUGUUUAAUUUUGAGGGUUCAUUAAAUGAAAACUCAACAAUAGAGGGCGUAGCCCAAUGCAACUGCAUUUUGAGCAACGGGAUGAACAUGAACGUAUGUGAAUGUUUAGACGUUGGCGACAUGCGAUAGCAUUUUAGUACUUUGAAAACUGCAUAACAUUUAGUGAUAUGACAUCAUUUAAUUAUAUAUAGACAGACAAGUCUUUAAAAUCAACUUUAAGCAAAGGGAUUUAUGUGAAUGAAUAUGAACAUAAAGACUUUCGCGAUAACUUUUAAUAACUGGUCAAGUUAUUAAGGGUGCAGGGCGGAUGCCUUGGCACUAGGAGCCGAUGAAGGACGUGAUAAGCUGCGAUAAGCUUCGGGGAGUUGCACGUAAACUUUGAUCCGAAGAUUUCCGAAUGAGGAAACUCACUUAGAGUAAUGUCUAAGUAUCGUUAAGUGAAUACAUAGCUUAGCGAGGGGAACCCGGGGAACUGAAACAUCUAAGUACCUGGAGGAAGAGAAAGAAAAAUCGAUUCCGUAAGUAGCGGCGAGCGAACGCGGAACAGGCCAAACCAAUGGAGUUUACUUCGUUGGGGUUGCGGACAUGUCAUUAACGAAGAGGUAUCGUAAGUGAAGAGAGUUGGAAAGCUCCGCUAUAAAAGGUAAUAGCCCUGUAGCUGAAACGAGAAGACUUUAGAUAUGAUCCAGAGUACCACGGGACACGUGAAACCCUGUGGGAAGCAGGAGGGACCAUCCUCCAAGCCUAAAUACUACCUAGUGACCGAUAGCGCAU
rnacentral:rRNA from 1 species